rnacentral:rRNA from 1 species
GGCGUGUAGGCGGCCUGUUAAGUCAGGGGUGAAACUCCGGGGCUCAACCCCGGGCGUGCCUCUGAAACUGAUGGGCUUGAGUGCUCUAGAGGGCAGUGGAAUUCCCGGUGUAGCAGUGAAAUGCAUAGAGAUCGGGAGGAACACCAGUGGCGAAGGCGGCUGCCUGGGGAGUAACUGACGCUGAGGCGCGAAAGCUAGGGGAGCAAACAGGAUUAGAUACCCUGGUAGUCCUAGCCGUAAACGAUGAGUGCUAUGUGUGAGGGGUAUCGACCCCCCUCGUGCAGUAGUUAACGCAAUAAGCACUCCGCCUGGGGAGUACGGCCGCAAGGCUGAAACUCAAAGGAAUUGACGGGGGCCCGCACAAGCAGCGGAGCAUGUGGUUUAAUUCGAAGCAACGCGUAGAACCUUACCAGGGCUUGACAUCCGCCGAAUCCUGCAGAAAUGCGGGAGUGCUCCUUCGGGAGAACGGCGAGACAGGUGGUGCAUGGUUGUCGUCAGCUCGUGUCGUGAGAUGUUGGGUUAAGUCCCGCAACGAGCGCAACCCCUGUCGCAUGUUGCCAGCACGUAAAGGUGGGGACUCAUGCGAGACUGCCGGUGACAAACCGGAGGAAGGUGGGGA